AUUUCCCCAAUGGGUUCUCCGGAUUUCUGGAGACUUGUAGGGGUUGUGGGAUUUUUGAUGUGUCGUCUCCGGACGGGCGGUGCAGGGUAGUCGAGUUAGACGGUGGAAUUCCGUCGAUAGGAGUUCCGUCGAGUCUGGUCGGCUGUGUGUUGGACGGUGCAGGGUAGGCUGCUUGGACAUGGUCGGUUCGAGGAUCGAUUCGAGGGCCGGCCUGUCGAUGAUGUGUGAUGUAUGCGGUCUAGGGUAGGCUGGUUUGUCUUGGUUCAAUUUGAUGUCGGCUCCCGUGCAGGCCAGAGUGAGGGGGGUCCAGGGUAGGUACAGGGUAGGCAGCUUAGAUUUGGUCGAUCUGGAGGUCGAUUCUCCGGCUGGCGGAUCUGACACUGUCGAAACGAGAUGCGAGCGGUGUAGGGUAGGCUAGUUUCGCCCUCGCCAGGUUGCGAUUUGGACGAGAUAUGUGGUUUAGUGUAUGCUCUAGGGUAAGUAGAAUUCGAGUUUCGUCGCCGACAGUUUUCUGUGGGUGUAUGGUAGGUACAGGGUAGGCAAAUCUCUCUCCGGCCAGUACUUGUCUGGUGGUCGUGAGUCGAUUUUUUUGUUUU
rnacentral:misc_RNA from 1 species